CAGUUCCACGUUAAAGUUUGAUGCAGCUCUGCUUUCCUGAAUCGACCGUCUUCAUCGCCACUGCAGGUUUCAUCCACAAUUUCUUCCCACUAACAACCUGAAGGGUGAAAUCUGCUAUUGGAGGUAAGGAGGACAGUGCAGAGCCUUGGUACAGAAGGACACAAUGAGGUGGCAGCUUCGCUUGGCUGACCAGGCAGAGCCGGAACAGGAAGAGAGAUUACCUCCUGCAGGGGCUCUGUGGGUGUGUGAGCAGGUGGAUGUAUGAAUGAAGAACGGUGUUUGUGUGUUCCUCUCUUUUCCAAUUAGUACCAGCAUCAGCUCUUUUCUACCCGGGUCAGUGGUGCAGAAUGGCUUCUGGAUGCACAGCUCUGUUGGUUCCAGAAACGUUUCGGUAACACUGGAAACAAACUACACACCGGAAUCUGUGAAAGUACUUUAAUGUUUUAAUUUCGUGAAAACGUAAAGCUGGACUUCAAGUAGAAUCCAACGCAAGAGCAACCUCGGUUUAAAAAUCUCUGGAAUGUAAUGCCACAAUUAAGCAGGCACCUAGUAACCGCAGUGAAGAGGAGCUCGUUACCUAGCAACCCCAGUCGAGUUCCGCCCAUCACCUAGCAACCCAAGCUGAGCUCCGAGACAUUUGGUCGACAGAUUUUACUGCUGACCAAACUGCUGGAAAAGACAAAAUGUUUUCUUUCUGACUUACUAUCCAGAAACCACUUGCUGCACUCUUGUUGGUUGUGCAGGAGGCUCCACUACUGCUUUUCUAAGAUGUAGGGUUGUAUAAUUGUGGAUCUGUUUUUCAGCAAUUUUAACAUACAAAUGUAAAAAUUUAAAUCUCAUUACCUAAGAAUAAUUUUGUACAAAAAAAAAUAUAAUGAACAUGUUUUGUUUGGCCCUUUGACCUGCUAGGUCACCUUUACUCAAUAUAAUUACUUGCUUAAAGCUAGCUUCCAUAUGUUGCUUAGUUUUGUCUUGAUUCAAUCUUACCAAGUUAUUUGCACUAGAAACCUGACCAAAAGUACUUGGUAAGAUUUUGUGUUUUUGCAGUGUAGUGUGGUGGAUCCGCAGUCCUGAGCAGAACUUGACCAAACUGACCUCUUUUGCUUCAGCAGGGCUUUUUUUCACGAGCUUGUUUCCCCUCUGAACUAAGCAACCCUAUUUAUCUGACUCUGGUUGUCAUCGUGGUCGAACGUGGUCGUAUUAAACUUUCAUAAUGUAUACUCUCUUUAGACUUCUGUUGAAGGUUGUGUUAGGCCCUCAGAGGACGUAUACCAUGCUGAAUAUCCCCCAAUUAUGUUUAUGAUGACUCUGAGUGCAGAUCUGAGGAGCAGACAGACAGACGGAUGGGCGCAGAGAGAGGCAGACAGACGGGACAUGUAUCUGGAGGGGAAAGUGGUAUUCUGUGAGGAUUGAUAGACUCCAUAUUGUGAGCUAAUGAUCUCCCCAGGGCACUGGGGAGAAACGAUGAAACCAGUCUGCAUGACACUGUCACACUCCCUAUGUCACGCUGCCACCUUCAUCUCUCAGUCUUCUCUUACUCACUCUUUGCCUUCCUCUCAACUUGGCUUUUUUCCCCCUCCUCGGGGAAAUGCAUCGAUUCACCUUUGUUUGUACUGUCACCCACACAUAUUCAGCUGUCACAGCCAGGAACGGAGCUCACUGAACUGAUGGGGCUGAUUUAGAGUAAGAGGCAUUCGCUGUCCUCGUUUCCCAAAAAAUGAAAACUCCACGACAUCUAUUCUCAUUUAGUUCAAUCUGGACGCAAAUGCCAAAGAUGUCUGCGGGAGGUGUUUAAAAGAUGCUCGAGCAUAGGUGGGAGAUAACGUCAUACUCCUGGCUUUGCAGAUAUAAUGGGAAAAAGAUCUUUUUAAAUCAAUUGUCAGCGCUCUUACAAUGGCAGGCACAAUGAGAGCAUUCACAGGCUGAGUUGAUGGAAAGGCGCAAUCAUCUCCUGCGAUCUGAUUCUCAAUCCGGAGCCUCGCUGUCACAGCUUCAAUAGAAGACAAUGCGGAGAGGAGGCAAAGACACAAACAUGUGGAAGGCUGGUGUUAACUGCAGGUAGAACGUUUACUGUACCGCUGAGGCGUCAUGUCUGCUAGAAAAUGGAGGCAACUUCUCAGGAAUGGAAGCGUACAUUAGUCACAACGACCCAGUGGAUAUGUUUAUGUUGAGCUCCUGCAGUUAAAUUAUUCCCCCCUCUAGCCUUCAUAAAUAAUCAGACUAAACGCGUAGACAUUUUUGAUCUCUUGCAUGUAUUUUGCAUGUUUUCGUUAAAUUAUGUUACCUGGAGACUGUUUAGGAUUAGCCUGGGUCUCGUCUUCGAUAUUGCAGCAGAUAUGAUUGCGGUUGCUUUGCAUCUUUUUGUAAGUUGAUUACUUUUCUCUCUGUUGCUGUUUUGUGUACCCAUUCUGACAGCAGAUGAAAAUAACCAUCUAAAUGCUGUAAUAGAAGAAAAUGUGGUGAUAUGACUGCAGUAAAUUAUAUCUUUCAGCAGCAGGUCAAUUGAAAGUGAAUUGGGUUUGAUCUGAGGUCAGGUUAACUGGGUAUCAGCCCCGUAGUAAAUUAGAAUAGAACAUAAUUCAUUUACAAAUAAUACAUUCAAAUUAAAUUAUAUCCCUAUUUUUAUGAUUAUUGAUCAUAUAUGAAACAGCUAAAACAAACUGAUGCAGCAUAAUUUAAGGAAUACAAAAUGAUUUGGUUACAGGAACAACUAGAAUUGCAAUCCAAAAGUAUUAAUUGAAUGCACAAAUUGGUGAAUUUCUUAAAUUGACCGUAUCCGCCUGGAUUUGUUGGAUCUCUUUGAUGUUAUUUCUUAGCCUUUUUAUACUUGUUUGUAUGUCUUUUCCUUUUUGUUCCACUUUGGGGCUGCUUGUGUCAUUAUAUGAUUGUUUCUUUUAUCCUUUUGAGGUCAAUCUUCUAGCUUUUUUUUGUUGAUUUGUGUUUCAUUUUGAUUAUUUCAUGUCUUUUU